ensembl:snoRNA U3 Small nucleolar RNA U3
AGUACUAUACUUUCAAGGAUCAUCUCUAUGGUUAGUUCCUAGAUGAGUCUCUCGGAACAUCAAAAACCCCCUGGAACAAAUGUGAAUGUGAAGUCAGCUCUUAGUGUUGUUUCACUGAAAUUGUCAUGGAUGAUCAUUCUUCUUUUCUUUUGAGAGAGGAUGAGGAAGAGGAGGU